ACCCUCCUGCGGGAGGCAGCAGUGGGGAAUAUUGGACAAUGGGCGCAAGCCUGAUCCAGCCAUGCCGCGUGAGUGAUGAAGGCCCUAGGGUUGUAAAGCUCUUUCACCGGUGAAGAUAAUGACGGUAACCGGAGAAGAAGCCCCGGCUAACUUCGUGCCAGCAGCCGCGGUAAUACGAAGGGGGCUAGCGUUGUUCGGAUUUACUGGGCGUAAAGCGCACGUAGGCGGACUAUUAAGUCAGGGGUGAAAUCCCGGGGCUCAACCCCGGAACUGCCUUUGAUACUGGUAGUCUUGAGUUCGAGAGAGGUGAGUGGAAUUCCGAGUGUAGAGGUGAAAUUCGUAGAUAUUCGGAGGAACACCAGUGGCGAAGGCGGCUCACUGGCUCGAUACUGACGCUGAGGUGCGAAAGCGUGGGGAGCAAACAGGAUUAGAAACCCCGGUAGUCC
rnacentral:rRNA from 1 species